AGUGAACGCUGGCGGCAGGCCUAAUACAUGCAAGUCGAACGGCAGCACAGUGGAGCUUGCUCCAUGGGUGGCGAGUGGCGGACGGGUGAGGAAUACAUGGGAAUCUGCCCAGUUGUGGGGGAUAACGUAGGGAAACUUACGCUAAUACCGCAUGCGCCCUUCGGGGGAAAGCCGGGGACCUUCGGGCCUGGCGCGAUUGGAUGAGCCCAUGUUCGAUUAGCUAGUUGGCGGGGUAAAGGCCCACCAAGGCGACGAUCGAUAGCUGGUCUGAGAGGAUGAUCAGCCACACUGGGACUGAGACACGGCCCAGACUCCUACGGGAGGCAGCAGUAGGGAAUAUUGGACAAUGGGCGCAAGCCUGAUCCAGCCAUGCCGCGUGAGUGAAGAAGGCCCUCGGGUUGUAAAGCUCUUUUGUCCGGGAAGAAAAGCAUCGGGCUAAUACCUCGGUGUUCUGACGGUACCGGAAGAAUAAGCACCGGCUAACUUCGUG
rnacentral:rRNA from 1 species